rnacentral:piRNA from 1 species
CUGCAUUUAAUGGAGCCCC